CACACAGGUGGCCCUGACUUGCAACAGGGAAAUCACUCCCUUAACCACCAUUUCUUACUUGUACAUGGAUAAGUUAUGAGGUACCUUUGGCCAUCGUUUCUCAGAAGGCUCAAGAAGGCCUUCAACUUGGAAAGUACCAAUUCCAGCAAUCUGAGAAGCUGCUCCAGCACUCUGCUGGCCACACUAGCUCCCAGCCUUUCGUGAAGAGGGCAUCCAAGCCCUAACAUGUUCAGAGGAUCUGUUCGGCUUAAGUCCCAGCAACUUAAGGCUUGGAAGCAUCACAUAUGGAUCAUCAAGGAAAUUUUCUCUAUUGUUCACAGGCAUAAAGGAACAUAACCCUGUUAUGAACAAUGGCUUUACAAAUCACUGUGGCUUGUAUAAUUGAAUUUGAUCUGUUCAUGUAAACAAAGAGAGGCGGAAGAAGGAUAUUCUGAGAAAUCAAAGGAAUGAAUCAACCACGAGAACACAGCAACUGAGUAUUUCCCUUGAUAGUUGCAAGAACUCGGGACCAAUACACCUACAGCUGAAAGAAGGAAAGCCUGUGAAGCACUCUCUGUGGUUUACAGAAAUGUCCUCCAAAGAUCAGGGCAGAGGGAAAAUCCCUGUAAUAAGAAGGAAGCCGAUACACGCUGCAUCAACAGCAAAACCAGAGAAUACUGGGCAAAUCAAUAGCUCACGGACAGAUGGCAUAAAGGAAGGAAGAGAGUGAAAAUAACAAUGCCAUGCAAACCAGAAAGGACUUAAUGAUUUGUUUUGAAUCAGGUAAGCCCUUUAUACUGC